AGGUCCGUUCCAACCCAAACCAUUCUGUGACUCUAUGACAAGAGGGUCUCCACCACGCUGUCGCUCGGUCUCCACAGAAGGAACUUUCAGAUGCAGCCUGCUAUUUCAGACUGAGAAAUGGGACACCCUUUGGCUGCAUGAGAUAUGUUACUGAUAUUGCUUUGUACACAGCUGAAGAGUAACUGAAUUUUAUUGCCAAGAUGCUCCAGAGAAACAGCAGGAAGACUUCUAUGACACUGCUCAUGUGGAGAUAUCAAAGUAACCAGCAGAGAGAAGUUAUAAUUUUUUGCUGAUAUACACCAGCAUACACAGUGAUACUUAAUGACUGUCCUCUAGGUGCUACUGCAAAAUAAAAGAAGUUAUAUUUAUUUUUACUAAUAACUAGAAAUUGUUUUCGUUAUUGUAUAGUGUUAUUACAUAGUAUUGUUAAGCAUCUUUACCGCCACUGAAGCUGUAGUAAUACACACGGAAAUGCCAGGCAAGAAUUACUUCUAUAUGGUGCUAGAUUGCACUGAUUGCUUAAUUUGUUUCUAUAUCCUCUGCAUUGUGCUGAGACUUGCCCAGAGGAGCACUAUGUUUGUCACCAGCCCAGCCCAAACCUCCUGGUAAAUAAGAGCCUUUGAAGAGCUGAUUGGCAUUUGCUAAUACCUAACACAGGAACUGUUUAAAAAGCCUUGUUAUAUCUGCACCAAGUCUGUUAGAUUUGUUCUAUUUUGAUUAACAAAAUCAGAUCAGUGCUAAUAGUGGGGGAAAACCUGCCAGCUUCUCUUCUGGCAGGCUGGUGCAUAUCCCAGACUCACCCACCAUGUGUUCCAAAAGCUGGCACAUGAGGACAGCCAGUUACCCUGGCUUUGCUUUUCAUUCUGAUAAGCACGGUGAGUCCUACCCAAACAGCUGGAAGUGUCUUUGAAACUCCAAAAUUAUUUCUCUGAUGGGGCAAGAGACUUAUUGAUAUUAACUCUGCAAGCAAAUAAGCGAGGUGGAAACUCACACCCUGGCACUGUACUUAACCCGUGUCCAACAGACCACUUCCCUCCAGGAAAGGUGAAUAAAUGUGGCAAUUAACUCAGUGUCCUGUUAACUUGCUCCCAGCCCUGUCUUGGCCGUUAGCUUGCUGAACAGCCUCAGGCAGUUCACUUUUCUCCCUCUGCUCAUUGUUCUGACAUGUAAAAUAGGAUGGCAAACAACAGAUUUCUGGGCAAGGUGCUCUGACAUGGCAGCACCUGGAGCAGGGGGCAUACUAAGUCGUUAAACCGCUGUUCCUACAUGGGAGCUGGACAUCUUUUGUCUCGAGCCUGAGAUCAGCCUCUGAGGUGCUAUUGCAGCAGGAGGGGCACUUCAGAAUAACUUGGUCAUUCCUUUCUCGGAGACAGUGUUUGCAGGCUUUUUCUUCCUUCUGUCCUGGAUGUUCAUCCUAUGGACAGACAGGGUUUGCAAUAGCGGCAUUUUGGGGCUGUGAUCUUGAGGCUGUCUGCAUGAAUAGAAUAGCAGCUGAGUUUUUUUAACUCCACUGGUCUGUCCUCUUGCAAAGUAAAGUUCCAAUGGAUUUUCAUUGCAAUGGGUCGGUCAGUGGUCACUUGGCCAGAUUUGUAGUUGUCCUAGCUGUGGUCCUCGGGAGACUGUACUGCCACAUGGAGCCCGAGAAGGGGGCUGCUCACCCAGUCAACACCUUGCACAGACCUCAAAAAGACGUGUUGCUUCUUCUGCAUCUGUCUGCACUUUCACUGUUGCUCAAAACACUGUCACCUUGCAUGGGAUUUUUACAGUGUGUUUCAACAGACUGGUCUUAUGCGUCAAUAAUGAAGUCUUCAGCUUUAAGCACACUUCACUUCCACACAGCAAAUCUCAGCAGCAUUGUUGAAGAAUUCCGUCACUUUUCCACAGAGAGUCUGCCCUCUACCUCUUAAAAUGAUCUUCAGUAUCUCACUGGGUUUCCUCAGUGCUGUUUUAUACAAUGCUCUUUUCCACUUAUUAUUACUGCAUUUCCGACAUCAUAUUUAACAAACUAAGCAAAAUGUGACCCCAAGAUUACUCCAGAGAACCUGAUGAAAUACAAGUUAAUAUUUAUAAGAAUGUUUCUUUUUUUUUAUCCUGUUUUUUUCCCCUACAAAGCAGAGAGCUAUAAUUUGACUUGCUCCCAUUUGUAUGCUAACACAAGGCAGUACAUUUGUUUAUUGUUAUACAGGUUGAUUCUUAGUAGGGCUGUGAGGAUAUCAAAUGAAGUUUAUUGUUCAUAAAUGGUAAUUCAUCCUUUGCGUCUGUCAUGUAAGACACUACUGAAAAGAAAUCAUUCUUCUCUGAAGAUUUCAAAUUACAUUUUCAGUGUCAAUGGAUAGUACUUAUAUAAGAGAAAUGUUUGCAAAAUGAUGAAAAGAUAAUAAAAAUGAC